rnacentral:ncRNA from 1 species
ACAGAUUUGGUCCUAGUCCUUAUUUUGACUCCCUCUAAAAUGAUACAUGCAAGCUAAUCGCGUUACCGUGAGUAAUACAAAUUUUAUCUAUCUUAAUAGCAAAGUAAAAUUAUGAGAGCAUCAGGAAUAAACUAACCUCUAACGACGCUUAGAAGCCCACGUCUGCAGUACUUAAUAUUGUGCAAUAAGCAAAAGCUUGACACAGUUAUAGAGAACAGGACUGGUAAAUUAUGUGCCAGCCACCGCGGUUAUACAUAAGAUCCUAGUCAAAAAUUUACCGGCAUAAAAGUGGUUAGGAGAACUUUAAGCCUAAUUUCAAAGUGAACACUAAUUUCAGCAGUAAUAAGCUAAUAAAACAUUUAUAACAACUAUAAUUAGACUUUGAAUACUUUAUCCGAAAUCCACUAAAGCUCAAAAAUAAACUGGGAUUAGAUACCCCAUUAUAUGAGUCGUUAACAAUAAGAAUGCCAGAGAACUACGAACUCACAAUUUAAAACUCAAAGGACUUGGCGGUUUUUUAGACCUUCCUGGAGGAGCUUGCCAUUGAACCGAUAACCCGCGAGAAACCUCACCAGCCCUUGAAGUAGACAGCUUGUAUACCAUCGUCGUCAGUUUACCUCUCAAGAAAAGUACACUCAAAGAAAUAUUGUUCAUUACGUCAGAUCGAGGUGCAGUUAAUGGGCUGGGAUGAGUGAGCUACAAUAAUUAACCACAAUUAAAAGUAUAAUUAUGGAAAAUUUUUUGAAAACAAAGGUUUGAAAUAGGAUUCAGCAGUAAUACUUACACAGAAAAUAGGUAUGAAGCUAGCUCUAAAAUGCGCACACAUCGCCCGUCACUCUCGUCCUAUAGAGGAGAAAAGUCGUAACAAAGUAGGUGUAUUGGAAAAUGCACCUGGCCUAAU